AGUGAACGCUGGCGGUAGGCCUAACACAUGCAAGUCGAACGGCAGCACAGUAAGAGCUUGCUCUUACGGGUGGCGAGUGGCGGACGGGUGAGGAAUACAUCGGAAUCUACUUUUUCGUGGGGGAUAACGUAGGGAAACUUACGCUAAUACCGCAUACGACCUACGGGUGAAAGCAGGGGAUCUUCGGACCUUGCGCGAUUGAAUGAGCCGAUGUCGGAUUAGCUAGUUGGCGGGGUAAAGGCCCACCAAGGCGACGAUCCGUAGCUGGUCUGAGAGGAUGAUCAGCCCAACUGGAAAUGAGAAACGGUCCAGACUCCUAAGGGAGGCAGCAGUGGGGAAUAUUGGACAAUGGGCGCAAGCCUGAUCCAGCCAUACCGCGUGGGUGAAGAAGGCCUUCGGGUUGUAAAGCCCUUUUGUUGGGAAAGAAAAGCAGCAGGUUAAUACCCCGCUGUUCUGACGGUACCCAAAGAAUAAGCACCGGCUAACUUCGUG
rnacentral:rRNA from 1 species